rnacentral:rRNA from 1 species
AGUGAACGCUGGCGGUAGGCCUAACACAUGCAAGUCGAACGGCAGCACAGUAAGAGCUUGCUCUUACGGGUGGCGAGUGGCGGACGGGUGAGGAAUACAUCGGAAUCUACUUUUUCGUGGGGGAUAACGUAGGGAAACUUACGCUAAUACCGCAUACGACCUACGGGUGAAAGCAUUGGAUCUUCGGACCUUGCGCGAUUGAAUGAGCCGAUGUCGGAUUAGCUAGUUGGCGGGGUAAAGGCCCACCAAGGCGACGAUCCGUAGCUGGUCUGAGAGGAGGGUCAGCCACAUGGGAACUGAGACACGGACCAGACUCCUAAGGGAGGCAGCAGUCGGGAAUAUUGGGCAAUGGGGGCAAGCCUGAUACAGCCCUACCGAGUGGGUGGAGAAGGCCUUCGGGUUGGAAAGACCGUUUGUUGGGAAAGAAAAGCAGCAGGUUAAUACCCCGCUGUUCUGACGGUACCCAAAGAAUAAGCACCGGCUAACUUCGUG